rnacentral:tRNA from 1 species
GGGCCGUUAGCUCAGAUUGGUAGAGCAGCUGACUCUUAAUCAGCGGGUCGCAGGUUCGAGUCCUGCACGGCCUA